rnacentral:rRNA from 1 species
GGGUUGUGAGGUUAAGCGACUAAGCGUACACGGUGGAUGCCCUGGCAGUCAGAGGCGAUGAAGGGCGUGCUAAUCUGCGAUAAGCGCCGGUAAGGUGAUAUGAACCGUUAUAACCGGCGAUACCCGAAUGGGGAAACCCAGUGUGAUUCGUCACACUAUCAUUAACUGAAUCCAUAGGUUAAUGAGGCGAACCGGGGGAACUGAAACAUCUAAGUACCCCGAGGAAAAGAAAUCAACCGAGAUUCCCCCAGUAGCGGCGAGCGAACGGGGAGGAGCCCAGAGCCUGAAUCAGCAUGUGUGUUAGUGGAAGCGUCUGGAAAGGCGCGCGAUACAGGGUGACAGCCCCGUACACAAAAGCGUAUGUGCUGUGAGCUCGAUGAGUAGGGCGGGACACGUGGUAUCCUGUCUGAAUAUGGGGGGACCAUCCUCCAAGGCUAAAUACUCCUGACUGACCGAUAGUGAACCAGUACCGUGAGGGAAAGGCGAAAAGAACCCCGGCGAGGGGAGUGAAAAAGAACCUGAAACCGUGUACGUACAAGCAGUGGGAGCACCCUUUGGGGUGUGACUGCGUACCUUUUGUAUAAUGGGUCAGCGACUUAUAUUCUGUAGCAAGGUUAACCGAAUAGGGGAGCCGGAGGGAAACCGAGUCUUAAUUGGGCGUUAAGUUGCAGGGUAUAGACCCGAAACCCGGUGAUCUAGCCAUGGGCAGGUUGAAGGUUGGGUAACACUAACUGGAGGACCGAACCGACUAAUGUUGAAAAAUUAGCGGAUGACCUGUGGCUGGGGGUGAAAGGCCAAUCAAACCGGGAGAUAGCUGGUUCUCCCCGAAAGCUAUUUAGGUAGCGCCUCGUGAAUUC